AAAAAAAAAAAAAAAAAUUAUAACCAAAAAAAGUCAAACUUAAUAAGUGUUUAUCCAAAUGACAUGAAUCUAUUACCGUCAAUAAUAAGAAAAGUCAAUGAAUUUUAUCCAACCGACUAGAAACAAAAGUGUUUUUCCAAAUGGCAUGAAUUUAAUAAUUUGCUAGUAAAGUUGUUGAAUUUUUUUUUUUUAAGCUUGUAUAGUUUUAAGUU
rnacentral:misc_RNA from 1 species